UACGAAGGGGGCUAGCGUUGCUCGGAAUUACUGGGCGUAAAGCGCACGUAGGCGGUCUUUUAAGUCGGGGGUGAAAUCCUGGAGCUCAACUCCAGAACUGCCUUCGAUACUGGAAGACUUGAGUCCGGGAGAGGUGAGUGGAAUUCCGAGUGUAGAGGUGAAAUUCGUAUGAUAUUGGGAAGAACACCGGUGGCGAAGGCGGCUCUCUGGACCACAACUGACGCUGAGGCGCGAAAGCGUGGGGAGCAA
rnacentral:rRNA from 1 species